GCCUGGCUGGCUCAGUCGGUGGAGCAUGUGACUCCUGAUCUCAGGGUCAUGAGUUUGAGCCCCAUGUUGGGUA
rnacentral:tRNA from 1 species